rnacentral:rRNA from 1 species
AGUGGGGAAUAUUGCACAAUGAGGGAAACCUUGAUGCAGCCAUGCCGCGUGUGUGAAGAAGGCCCGAGGGUUGUAAAGCACUUUCAAUUGUGAGGAAGAUUAAGUAGCUAAUAUCUGCUUAAUUUGACGUUAACUUUAGAAGAAGCACCGGCUAACUCUGUGCCAGCAGCCGCGGUAAUACAGAGGGUGCAAGCGUUAUUCGGAAUUACUGGGCGUAAAGCGCGCGUAGGCGGACUGUUAAGUCGGUUGUGAAAGCCCUGGGCUCAACCUAGGAACUGCAUCCGAUACUGGCAAUCUAGAGUUUAAGAGAGGGAAGUGGAAUUCCAGGUGUAGCAGUGAAAUGCGUAGAUAUCUGGAGGAACAUCAGUGGCGAAGGCGACUUCCUGGCUUAAAACUGACGCUGAGGUGCGAAAGCUUGGGUAGCGAACGGGAUUAGAUACCCCGGUAGUCCAAGCCGUAAACGAUGUCAACUAGCUGUUGGUCUUAUUAAAAAGAUUAGUAGCGUAGCUAACGCGAUAAGUUGACCGCCUGGGGAGUACGGUCGCAAGAUUAAAACUCAAAGGAAUUGACGGGGGCCCGCACAAGCGGUGGAGCAUGUGGUUUAAUUCGAUGCAACGCGAAGAACCUUACCAUCCCUUGACAUCCUGCGAACUUUCUAGAGAUAGAUUGGUGCCUUCGGGAACGCAGUGACAGGUGCUGCAUGGCUGUCGUCAGCUCGUGUCGUGAGAUGUUGGGUUAAGUCCCGCAACGAGCGCAACCCUUAUCAUUAGUUGCUAACAUUUAGUUGAGAACUCUAAUGAGACUGCCGGUGAUAAACCGGAGGAAGGCUGGGACGACGUCAAGUCAUCAUGGCCCUUAUGGGAUGGGCUACACACGUGCUACAAUGGGGGGUACAAAGAGCAGCCAACUGGCGACAGUGCGCGAAUCUCAUAAAACCUCUCGUAGUCCGGAUCGGAGUCUGCAACUCGACUCCGUGAAGUCGGAAUCGCUAGUAAUCGUGAAUCAGAAUGUCACGGUGAAUACGU